UACAGAGGUCCCAAGCGUUGUUCGGAUUCAUUGGGCGUAAAGGGUGUGUAGGUGGCGCCGUAAGUCGGGUGUGAAAUCUCGGGGCUAACUCCGAAACUGCAUUCGAUACUGCGGUGCUUGAGGACUGGAGAGGAGACUGGAAUUCAUGGUGUAGCAGUGAAAUGCGUAGAGAUCAUGAGGAAGACCAGUGGCGAAGGCGGGUCUCUGGACAGUUCCUGACACUGAG
rnacentral:rRNA from 1 species